rnacentral:rRNA from 1 species
AAUCAACGCUGGCGGCGUGCCUAACACAUGCAAGUCGAACGCGAAAGCCCCUUCGGGGUAAGGUAGAGUGGCGUCCGGGUGAGUAACACGUAGGUAAUCUACCUUCGGGUGGGGAAGUAACCAGUCGAAGAUUGGCUAAUACCGCAUAAUGCAGCGGCACCUAAUGGUGAUUAGUUGUUAAAGACGGGGAGUCGUAAGACCUCGCGCCUGAAGAGGAGCCUGCGGCAGAUUAGCUAGUUGGNGAGGUAAUGGCUCACCAAGGCUUCGAUCUGUAGCUGGUCUGAGAGGACGGCCAGCCACACUGGCACUGACACAC